GGGGGCGUGGCUCAGCUGGGAGAGCACCUCGUUCGCAACGAGGGGGUCAGGGGUUCGAGUCCCCUCGUCUCCACCA
rnacentral:tRNA from 3 species